GACGAACGCUGGCGGCGUGCUUAACACAUGCAAGUCGAACGGUCAAGCGCCUUCCUUUUUGGUGUGUGUGGAUGAGUGGCGAACGGGUGAGUAACACGUGAGUAACCUGCCCCCUUUUUCUGGAUAACCGCAUGACAGUGUGGCUAAUACGGGAUAUUCUGGGUCUGUCGCUUGAUGGGUCUGGGACAGAUAUUGUUUCGGUUGGGGAUGGGCUCGCGGCCUAUCAGCUUGUUGGUGGGGUGAUGGCCUACCAAGGCGAUGACGAGUAGCCGGCCUGAGAGGGUGGACGAUCAUGGAGGGGAUAAGAGGUGGAGAAGACUACGGCAGGAAGCAGCAGUGAAGAAUACUGCACGGGGGGAAGAAGGAUGAAGCAACGACGCGGGGGGAGGGAAGGAGGUCGUAGGGUAGUGAACCUCUUUUGGGAGAGAAGAAAGGUGGACGUGUUUGUGGGUGGGUUGACGGUAGCUGGAUAAGAAGCGACGGCUAACUACGUG
rnacentral:rRNA from 1 species